GAUGAACGCUGGCGGCGUGCCUAAUACAUGCAUGUCGAGCGAACAGACGAGGAGCUUGCUCCUCUGACGUUAGCGGCGGACGGGUGAGUAACACGUGGAUAACCUACCUAUAAGACUGGGAUAACUUCGGGAAACCGGAGCUAAUACCGGAUAAUAUAUUGAACCGCAUGGUUCAAUAGUGAAAGACGGUUUUGCUGUCACUUAUAGAUGGAUCCGCGCCGCAUUAGCUAGUUGGUAAGGUAACGGCUUACCAAGGCAACGAUGCGUAGCCGACCUGAGAGGGUGAUCGGCCACACUGGAACUGAGACACGGUCCAGACUCCUACGGGAGGCAGCAGUAGGGAAUCUUCCGCAAAGGGCGAAAGCCUGACGGAGCAACGCCGCGUGAGUGAUGAAGGUCUUCGGAUCGUAAAACUCUGUUAUUAGGGAAGAACAAAUGUGUAAGUAACUAUGCACGUCUUGACGGUACCUAAUCAGAAAGCCACGGCUAACUACGUG
rnacentral:rRNA from 1 species